AUUGAACGCUGGCGGCAUGCUUUACACAUGCAAGUCGAACGGCAGCGCGGGCUUCGGCCUGGCGGCGAGUGGCGAACGGGUGAGUAAUGCAUCGGAACGUGCCCAGUAGUGGGGGAUAGCCCGGCGAAAGCCGGAUUAAUACCGCAUACGACCUGAGGGUGAAAGCGGGGGACCGAAAGGCCUCGCGCUAUUGGAGCGGCCGAUGUCGGAUUAGCUAGUUGGUGGGGUAAAGGCUUACCAAGGCGACGAUCCGUAGCUGGUCUGAGAGGACGACCAGCCACACUGGGACUGAGACACGGCCCAGACUCCUACGGGAGGCAGCAGUGGGGAAUUUUGGACAAUGGGGGCAACCCUGCUCCAGCCAUGCCGCGUGCGGGAAGAAGGCCUUCGGGUUGUAAACCGCUUUUGUUCGGGAAGAAAUCCUCUGGGCUAAUACCCCGGGGGGAUGACGGUACCGGAAGAAUAAGCACCGGCUAACUAUGUG
rnacentral:rRNA from 1 species